UAAAAAUGUGAUGAGCUGUUGUUACCGCCCCAGUCUGAAGAUUCAUGACUGAUUGGUCUACCCUCUGAUUGA
rnacentral:snoRNA from 1 species